AGAAUCAACGCUGGCGGCGUGCCUAACACAUGCAAGUCGAACGAGAAAGUGGAGCAAUCCAUGAGUAAAGUGGCGCACGGGUGAGUAACACGUGACUAACCUACCCUUGAGUGGGGAAUAACCUAGGGAAACCUGGGCUAAUACCGCAUAACACCUACGGGUCAAAGGAGCAAUUACGCUUAAGGAGGGGUCGCGGCAGAUUAGCUAGUUGGCGGGGUAAUGGCCCACCAAGGCAGUGAUCUGUA
rnacentral:rRNA from 1 species